rnacentral:rRNA from 1 species
CCGUCCUUGAAAUACCACCCUUGUAGUGUUGAUGUUCUAACGUUGACCCCUUAUCGGGGUUGCGGACAGUGCCUGGUGGGUAGUUUGACUGGGGCGGUCUCCUCCCAAAGCGUAACGGAGGAGCACGAAGGUGGGCUAAUCACGGUUGGACAUCGUGAGGUUAGUGCAAUGGCAUAAGCCCGCUUGACUGCGAGAAUGACAAUUCGAGCAGGUGCGAAAGCAGGUCAUAGUGAUCCGGUGGUUCUGAAUGGAAGGGCCAUCGCUCAAC